CGAGCAACUGCCGCGUGAGUGAAGAAGGCUUUCGGGUCGUAAAACUCUUUUGUUGGAGAGGAUGGUCUGCAGAGUAACUGUUGGCGGCGUGACGGUAUCCAACCAAAAAGCCACGGCUAACUACGUGCCAGCAGCCGCGGUAAUACGUAGGUGGGUGUCAAGCGUUAUCCGGAUUUAUUGGGCCGACCGUAAAGCGAGCGCAGGCGGUUUUUUAAGUCUGAUGUGAAAUCCCUCGGCUUAACCGUUUAGGAAGUGCAUCGGAAACUGGGAAACUUGAGUGCAGAAGAGGACAGUGGAACUCCAUGUGUAGCGGUGAAAUGCGUAGAUAUAUGGAAGAACACCAGUGGCGAAGGCGGCUGUCUGGUCUGUAACUGACGCUGAGGCUCGAAAGCAUGGGUAGCGAACAGGAUAGAUAC
rnacentral:rRNA from 1 species